CUUUCCAAAUACACAUCAAGGGCUCAAUAUGAUUCCGCUGAACUUCUCCCAGCGACCCACAGUUCAAACAAAGACCUCGAGUCAAGAGUGCCACAGCACAGGGAACGCUGCCAGGCCCAGCGGAGCACUCACCACUUCACUCCCAAACAGGCUUGUACCUACCGGCAACCCAGCCAUGGCCAGCUCAUGAUCUUGGACCCCUGCCUACUUCCCUCAAAGCAGGCAAAGGCCAUCGAGUUCGUAUUGGGCUUGAAAUUAAUGAUUGCGAUAACAUAACGAAUGGCGUGGGCAGCGGAGAUGAUUGCUGCUUUGGAGAGGGAGCACCAAGACGACUGCAAACUCUGCCCCUUGACUCUGCCUCGGUGAGGAGGGGAGAGGAAGACGCCAAGCGGAUGGAGCAGCAGAACACACACAGGAUUCGCUCCAGCCGUGUGCGAAUUCCAGUACGAGGCAGAGGCUCUGCUCGAGGUCAGGUGCUCGUGGUAGACUUACAGUCAAGAUGUCCUGAAAAACCCCCUGAAGAGGAAAGCCACGAGAUAUCAAUCCAUCUACAGAAAAAUAAAACCAAGUAAGUGAGGAGAAGGGGGAGGAUGUCGGGACAAGGAGCCAAGAAAAUAUUUCUUACUUGAGCACAUGAGAUAUUUAGUAAUGUGUUACAGCUGUUCGGGAGCUUUAAAUGGAGUUCCAUCACUGAGAGAUUACACCAUGCUGUGUUUGACUUUCCAGUGAGUGCAAGGCCAUUGUCUGUACAGGGAAUCUUUCAUGGCCAAUCUUUCAUCCAGGCAGCCUGACCAUCCAGUCAGUGUCCAUGCAGUGCCCCUCUGCUGUCUCUUCUCCACAUCUUGAAUGUCACUUAUUUCUCCAGCCCCUUGCGAAGAAGUCCCACAGACUGGCCACAUACAUCAAACUGAACCCCAGAAGCCUCUUAGACAUUAUUUCAGUGGUCAUCAAUUAUUUGCACCCCGUAGUGGUUGAUCAAAUCUGACUACAGGCUGAGUUUUGACCAUCUGGCUUGCAUGAUAUGAUCAUAACAUUGUUUUUAGCUAUUGAAAUCAUGCUGUGUAGAUACUGAAAACAAUCCUACCAGCAUACAGAAUACACUCUGCAGGGGGUUUCUGAUUACCAACAACAACCUUCUCUUACGUCCCAUAGCCCCUAAAAUCCUAAAAAUAAAAGGUGUGUAGAGCGAAACGAGUACUGUAACAUUCUUUUCAAGUAGAUACUCCCACAUACUCAUGCAGUUUCCUCCUUCAGAAAAGUGCUUUCUGUGAAAGGGUGCUCCCAGUUGCCCUACAAACCAAGGGUAACCAGGACUUCUAGCCCGUGUUCUUUGCUCUUUCCCUUGCUCCUUGGUUCUCCCUAACCAGUUAGAUUUCUUUCCUUUUUCCACAUAUCUCAUUGGUUAUGAAUACACUGUAACAAAAACAAAAACCAGAAUAAGCAAGGAAAAGCUACUGCCUAUCACAGUACCAUCCGUACCUUUCUGGAGUCACACUACGUAUAGAAGAAAGGACAGAAAUAAAAAAGAAGAGAAAGCAGUGAUUCAGAGGUUAUCAAUGACCACCACCUGAGGGAGCAUGGGGAAAUACAGAGAAGAUUGCUGCUCUUCAGAAGCAUACUUCUUAAGCAUAAUGGAGUAUGUGCACUGCUCAAAUGCCUACAAAAGCUGAUUAAGGAGAAGAAGCCUGGAAGGAGGACACUGUAAGCAAUUACUAUGCAUUAUGAGGAGAGAAAAAAAUACCCACAAGUUUUCCUCUCUAUUUACAAAUGUUGUACUCAGUAGCCUAUAAUUUAAAGAGGAGUCUUGCCCUCCCCAGACCCUUUAGCGUCUUUGUAGCCCUCCUUUGGACGUUCUCCAGUAGCCUUGUGCUCUUCCUAUAUUGCUGCAGCCAGUGCUUGAGGUGAGGCUGCACAGCACAGAGUUGAGUAGUUGUGGAGUCACAUCAAACUUACUGGUGGCGUAUGCUUAUUAUAAGAAGAUUCUGAGCAAGGAAGCAUAUCCAGAGAGGCAGCCAAGGCCCGGCAGUCAGAGAUGUUGUGAAUGAAAGGGGUGCAUUAUCCAGCUCCCUGCACUCAGCUGUGGCAUGCUGGCUUAGAACAGAAGGAAUAAUUCAUUCAUUUGUAGAAAGCCAAUGUGGGUCCAAGCUGGGGAAAGGAUGCGUAGAAAAUAACCUGUGGCUAUUUUAAGCUUAACAGUUGUUUCUCCACUGGCUGAGUAGCACACUGAUGAGAACAACCUUACACCAGCUGACUUCGGCCCACUAGGAAGCACAGCAGGGAAACCUCUGAGACCAAGUAAUUGUUUCCUUCAGUUCAGUGUUUCAUGUUCAAAAGCAGCAACUCGAAAACCAUUAUGUAACCCUCCUGUUUAUUCCUGCCUUUUAAACUUACCCAAGCAUCUCUACCUGCAGCUACUCCACUGAUGUUAAUUCUGGGGAAAGGGGUUGGAAGAACACCAGGGAAUGACAUCCUCAAUAUGUCUGGAGAGCAGUUCCUGAAUAGCUUUCCUUUCAGAGCAAGAUCAGUGGCCUUCCCCAGAGAUGAAUGAGAAACAUCAGAGCUGAUGGGGGUGGCUCACCCCCUCUGCUCACACACUCCUUGACUUCUUUCCUGAGAUUAAAAUGAAGAAUCGCAUGGCAACUCUGAUAAGUGUGUUCCUUGUGCUGCCUUAUUUGCUGAUGGCAACAUGCAAGAAGCUCAGCUGCUGGAGCUUGCUGUAAUUCCAGGAAGGCAGGUUCUGCCUGUUUGUGUAUUUAUUUAUUUAUUUUCGCUACCAGGCCACUCCAAUUUAUUACUUACCAUAUAGCAGUGUGGGAGACUUCUGGGAGCCAUCUGACAUGUGUACACCUUCCACUUCACCUUGUUGAGCACUGUAAGAAUGGGAAAGGGUAUCAGAGAAGAACUCAUUCUCAUACUUAAUGGAAUUGUCACAGUUACUGAUAUGAACAACCCUGUGCCUGAUCAUUCAGUCCUGGCUGCUGUUUCAACCAUGUUCCACUGACACCCCUCAGUUACAUGGGAGCACCACCACAGCUGUGCUUUUGUGUGCAGCUGUGGUUAUUGAUGCUUGUGCAGAGGUUUGUGAUUAAGGCCUGGAGAAUUUCUCUCUAGAAAACAAAAAUCAGACAUUUGGAGAUAUUUCUGAAAAGGUAAUUUGAUUUUACGUUUUCCCCAUCUUUAAAAGUAAGUUAUCUCUGCUGAUAUAUGUCUUUUAAUCAGAGAAGCACUGUUACCUUUCUUACUGUUUAUCACUUACCAGGGCUGAAUUUGAACUGAUGAGAACAGGAUACAGUGUUUGAUAUCAGCUUACAGUACAGUUGAAAGAUCAGCUGCCAAAAUGAUCUGCAUAUGCACACUUGAUUUGAUGAGCUCACAUCUUUCAGUUCAGAGAAGGGUAGUGCCUAUUUGUCAUUAUUAUUUUGCAGAUUGCGUAGAACUGUCACGUGCUUUGCUUUAUUUCAGCAGUACUUGAAUAAUGGUAAUGCCUGACUUGAUAAAAGGUGACUCGUUCAAUAUUAACAUUAUCUAGACAGCAUUUCCAGUAAGCAUCCUGACCCACUCUCUGUUUUGUAUUGAGAACAUUUGCUUUUUCCCCAGGAAAAAAAACCAAAUCCUUAUGAAAAUAAUGAUUUCUGCAAAAUGUUUUGAUUUACAAGUUUCAUUUCAUAGAAAUGUGCACAUACGAAAGAUAAACGCAUUGAAAUGAAUAUAGCUAUAUUGAAAUGAAUGCAGUUAAGAGUAAUAGAGCAAGAAUCAGGAAAUACCCUGAGAGCUGCACACAGGCAUUACUGUGGUCUUUCAGGAAACACAGGGAGAAGUUACAGAAGUGACUUCAAAACUGACACCACUUUAUAGAGAAUAAUCCAAUUUCUGCAGAUCUCAACCAGCCUAACGGAGCGAGGGUGUAUGUAGCAGUCAGUUAUAAAGCAUUAUAAAGCAGUCAUAAAGCAUUUCUGGUAGUACGGAACUGUUUUGUGUGGUAGAUAUUGUUUUAUUGCAUUGAUUUACUUCAUUUAGUUAGCUCUCCUGCUAAAGAGAAAUCACUUUGUGUGUUGAAAUCCUUCAACAAUGUUUAAAUAUAGACCAGAAUUCUGGCCUUGCUGAAUCCAAUGGCAGAUUCCCAAACUAGAUUAUAAUAGGACAAAUAUAUCAUUUACAGAUGGAAAAUAAAAUCCAUUCAGCCUUUAGCAAGCUGAAAAGCUCCUCUGUUUUGUGUCUGACAUUUUUAUGGAGCUGGAAGAUAAAAACCUGAGAAGGAUAACGGUAAAUCAUAUAUAUCCUGUGUGGCAGAGCAACAAGCAAAGCCUGUGAGCUCUGGACUAUGUGUGAGGCUCAGGGCAGUGCAGGUGAUGCCUACCCUCCUCACUGCCCGGGUCCCAACGUCUCAGUGGGGUCCUGCAGGAGACCAGGGGUGCAGCAAUUGAAGAUUGCUCUACAGCUAUUCGACAUAUGCUCUCUGAAGCAAGGGAGGGGAAUUGCCCAAUUUACACCAAUGGACGGAGCAUCAGCAAGAUCAGUGAUCAUAACCAGAGUGAAACCUAGUGAUCUGUGGUGUUGGCUCCCUAGGAGGUGUUUGGAAAUACCAUUCCUCAGAAGUUCUGCAUAGCAGGUCUAGGCAUGGCUUUCAGCAUCACAGCUUUGGUAACUUGAGUAGCUGCUGGGGAAGAGAAGGGCAGAAAAGUGUAUUUGGGAGGGGAGAAGCAGCCUGGAUGAACCAUCUCAUUUCCUAGUGAGAGCCAUGGGUGUUCAACCUUUUGGUUUGUCUGGACUGCACUGAGUGAAGAAGAAUUGUCUUGGGCCACAUAUAUGUAGACUGGUCUGGAAGUAAUGGCACUUAUUUAUCUCCAUGGAAACUAUAACAGAUACAAGGAGAAAAAUAACAUUAUUCGAUAGAGCAAAUUCUCAGCUACAAAACAUUGUUUUUCAUCAUAGUCACUACUGUUAGCUCUGCAUUUUUGCCAGCAAUGAACAACAGCUGCAUGCUGCGCUCGUAAACAUCUAUACCAGAGGUGAGCCUCUGUCACCACUGCUGAAAUACAUCACUUGUUGCCUCACUGUGCUCACACCCACUGUUUGGUCUCCAUCAGCGUUCAGAAAGUGUCAACAAAUGUCAGUGGGUGCCAUAUUUUCUGCAUGGAGGAAUUCAGUGACACACCUUCACGAGCACUUUCACGUUGGAUGCCAUUGUGUCAGACUGCCCCUCUGAUGCCAUCUGCCACACAGCAACAAAACAUAAUGGGAUACUGGUGAGAAGGUUCAGCCUCUUCUGCCAUAUGACCAACAUCUGCCUUUGGCACUGUGGGUAAGUAUCAGAACAUUGGAGGCAUUGCUUUUGGAGCACUCUCCAUAAAGUAUAUAAUAUAGCUAAUGUGCUUCAUCCUUGAAAAUGGUUGUUCACAAAUAUAUGUACUGCCAAAAAAAGGUAAUGUGAAUAAGGUGAGACUGUGAAGUGAGGGGUAUUCCUCUUUCGUAAGAGAGGGCUUAUGGAUGUCUGGUAAAGAGAUACGAUCGCAUAUUUCUUGAGUUGAAUGUCUGAUUGCAACUUGAUACAUUCCAUUUGAAAAUUCACAACUGAAAAAAGAAUUACAAAUAUACCAAAAAACUGAUCACCUUUUUUCAGCUAUCUUGAAACCUGCUCUCAAACGCAGCCCACGGGCAGAGGGUUGGCCAUGCCUGUAAGUCAGCAGUCUUCUGCAGCACUCUGCCUUCUUACAGUCCGCUCUCAGCAUCAACGCGCAGGCUGGGCGUUCAGAGAGAAAAAGCUUUUGAGCACGUUGAGUAGAAAACAUGUUACUGAAAUAGCACUGGAGGUCACAGAAAAAGCAGUCUGUAAGCUAACCAGACUGCCCUGUUGCAAAGGCUUUCAGGUUUUCGUAGCACUGACCAAGGUACCGCUGGAGAGUGGGGUCUGUGGAGCUCAUUGUGAGCAGCUUGGCAGUGCCGUGCGGUUUCUGGCAGCUGGACAAAAUGCUUGUGGUUGGCAGGCCUCUCGCAAAGCCAUGGAAGGAAAGGAUAUAAAAAGAACACUGUUUCUGGAUUAACCAGAGGGACGGGCUGCACUGGCCGGUCACCACACAGUGCAGGAAGGAGCGGGCUGAGCUCCCUCAUUCACCACAUCCGCUGCUUCUGUGGAGCCAGAAGGAGGCAAUCAGGGGCCGCUACCAGAACAGAAGGCCUACAUGAAUCUUCCAAAGUAGCUGAUGUGACGUGAGACUCGUUUGGAAAGUGCUUUUCGUUUUAUAUACAGCUCAGCAACAGAAGCUUUUACUUUAAUCUUCUCAUUUCAUAGUGCCUGGGGUAAAAAAAAAAAACAAACAACAAAAAAAAAAACAAACCAGCCUCAGCCGAGUGCAGCUUCGGUUUAAACAGAUUGUAUGGCAGCUCCAUUGGGUAUUUAGGUCCAGUUAAUUCCUUAUAACAUGAGAAAAUUUCUAGUGACAUCUGGAUUCCCUUUUUCCUCCUCCAGGCACACUCAGUCUGUGCUCUCACCAUGAAAGUUCAGAGCAGGUUGAAAUAUCACCUGCAGGAGUAAUUUUUGGUUGAAAAAAUAAAAGGGUUUUUUUAAUGCCAACCGUUACUGGAACAGGCUGCCCACGGAGGUGGUGGAGUCACUGACCCUGGAGGCGUUCAAGAACUGUGUGGGUGUGGCACUGAGGGACAUGGUUAGUGGGAAUGGUGGGGGUGGGCUAACAGUUGGACUUAAUGAUCUUAGAGGUAGGUCUUUUCCAGCCUUAAUGAUUCUAUGAACCUACAAUCAAUUAAUGGCAGCCCAGAUCCUCAUCUCAAGAACUCCAGUCUCUAUACUGUUUCUUUAAUGAACGUUAGAAGCAAGGCUUGUUUUUUCAUUACUGAAUAAAGCAGAGCUCUAUUAGGCUUUUGGAUUGAUCUUGUUUCCCAGCCUUCUUAUUUGUAAUGUUUUUUUGACAGAUGUGCUCAGGCUAUUCUCGUUGUGAGAAGAAACAGGGAACAGCAUCAGAUGAACUUGUUGUCAGGUUAUUAUUUGUCAACAAGAUCAAGCAAAGCCCUGCUCUCCUGGAGAAAUCGAAUUUCCCCACCAGCCAGGCUGAAUACUUCCAGCCAGUAUCCUGCCACUUCCCAGCAG
ensembl:lncRNA